UAAAGCUGAUCUGCCCUGGGUAAGUCGGGGCCUAAGGCGAGGCAGAAAUGCGUAGUCGAUGGACAACAGGUUGAGAUUCCUGCACCCGUAAUGAACAGAGCUGUAGUGACACGGAAGGUAAGACAGAGCCGGGAAUGAGAAAACCGGUGCAAGCACAAUAGAUGUGCGGGAGGAAAAACCCCCGCAUAAGUCGAAGGUGUGAUGCGGACCGAAAAAGAGUAGGGAAGCUGUUAAGCAAGCCGUCAAGAAAAGCUGCUAUUGUUUCAUUAUGGCCCGUACCGUAAACCGACACAGGUGGAUGGGGAGAGAAUCCUAAGGCCGGCGGAAGAAGUAUUGUUAAGGAACUCGGCAAAAUGACCCCGUAACUUCGGGAGAAGGGGUGCCUGCGAGAGCAGGCCGCAGAGAAGAGGCCCAAGCAACUGUUUAGCAAAAACACAGGUCUAUGCAAAACCGAAAGGUGAGGUAUAUGGGCUGACGCCUGCCCGGUGCUGGAAGGUUAAGGGGAGUGGUCAGGAAACGAAGCCACGAACUUAAGCCCCAGUAAACGGCGGCCGUAACAAUAACGGUCCUAAGGUAGCGAAAUUCCUUGUCGGGUAAGUCCCGACCCGCACGAAAGGCGUAAUGAUUUGGGCGCUGUCUCGACAAUACAUCCGGUGAAAUUGAAGUGCCAGUGAAGAUGCUGGCUACCUGCGCCAGGACGGAAAGACCCCAUGGAGCUUUACUCCAGCUUGAUACUGGGACCCGGUAUUGCAUGUACAGGAUAGGUGGGAGGCUAGGAAAUGUGGACGCCAGUCUGCAUGGAGCCGCUGUUGGGAUACUACCCUUGUGGUGCUGGGUUUCUAACCAGAGGCCGUGAACCGGUCUGGGGACAAUGUCAGGUGGGGAGUUUGACUGGGGCGGUCGCCUCCGAAAGGGUAUCGGAGGCGCCCAAAGGUUCCCUCAGAAUGGUUGGAAACCAUUCGAAGAGUGCAAAGGCAGAAGGGAGCUUGACUGCGACACCGACGGGUGGAGCAGGUACGAAAGUAGGGCUUAGUGAUCCGGUGGAAUUUAAGUGGGAAUGCCAUCGUUCAACGGAUAAAAGCUACCCUGGGAUAACAGGCUGAUCACUCCCAAGAGUUCACAUCGACGGAGUGGUUUGGCACCUCGAUGUCGGCUCAUCGCAUCCUGGGGCUGAAGUCGGCCCCAAGGGUCGGGCUGUUCGCCCAUUAAAGCGGUACGCGAGCUGGGUUCAGAACGUCGUGAGACAGUUCGGUCCCUAUCCGGCGUGGGCGUAGGAUAUCUGAGAGGAGCUGUCCUUAGUACGAGAGGACCGGGAUGGACUGACCUCUGGUGUACCGGUUGGCGAUCAACGCCACGGCCGGGUAGCCAUGUCGGGACGGGAUAAACGCUGAAGGCAUCUAAGCGUGAAGCCCCCCUCAAGAUGAGAUAACCCAUCGUAAGAGUAAGACCCCUUGAAGACGACAAGGUUGAUAGGGCAGGGGUGGAAGUGCCGUAAGGCAUGGAGCUGACUGCUACUAAUCGGUCGAGGGCUUGACUA
rnacentral:rRNA from 1 species